rnacentral:rRNA from 1 species
GAUUUUCCCCAAUGGGCGCAAGCCUGAGGGAGCAACGCCGCGUGCAGGACGACGGCCUUCGGGUUGUAAACUGCUUUUGGGCGGGAAGAUACUGACGGUACCGCCCGAAUAAGCCCCGGCUAACUCCGUGCCAGCAGCCGCGGUAAGACGGAGGGGGCAAGCGUUGUCCGGACUUACUGGGCGUAAAGCGCACGUAGGCGGCUCGAUGCGUCGGUGCUGAAAGCGCCAGGCUUAACCUGGCGAGGCGUGCCGAUACGAUCGGGCUCGAGGCAGGCAGAGGGUGGCGGAAUUCCGGGUGUAGUGGUGAAAUGCGUAGAGAUCCGGAGGAACGCCUGUGGCGCAAGCGGCCACCUGGGCCUGUCCUGACGCUGAGGUGCGAAAGCGUGGGGAGCGAA